rnacentral:rRNA from 1 species
CAGUAGCCACGGUAAUACAGAGGGUGCAAGCGUUAAUCGGAAUUACUGGGCGUAAAGCGCGCGUAGGUGGUUUGUUAAGUUGGAUGUGAAAGCCCCGGGCUCAACCUGGGAACUGCAUCCAAAACUGGCAAGCUAGAGUACGGUAGAGGGUGGUGGAAUUUCCUGUGUAGCGGUGAAAUGCGUAGAUAUAGGAAGGAACACCAGUGGCGAAGGCGACCACCUGGACUGAUACUGACACUGAGGUGCGAAAGCGUGGGGAGCAAACAGGAUUAGAGACCCGAGUAGUCCCUGUCUCUUAUAC